rnacentral:rRNA from 1 species
UAGGGAAUCCUCCACAAUGGGCGAAAGCCUGAUGGAGCAACGCCGCGUGUGUGAUGAAGGGUUUCGGCUCGUAAAACACUGUUGUAAGAGAAGAAUGACAUUGAGAGUAACUGUUCAAUGUGUGACGGUAUCUUACCAGAAAGGAACGGCUAAAUACGUGCCGG